GAUGAACGCUGGCGGCGUGCCUAAUACAUGCAAGUCGAGUGAACAGACGAGGAGCUUGCUCCUCUGACGUUAGCGGCGGACGGGUGAGUAACACGUGGAUAACCUACCUAUAAGACUGGGAUAACUUCGGGAAACCGGAGCUAAUACCGGAUAAUAUAUUGAACCGCAUGGUUCAAUAGUGAAAGACGGUUUUGCUGUCACUUAUAGAUGGAUCCGCGCCGCAUUAGCUAGUUGGUAAGGUAACGGCUUACCAAGGCAACGAUGCGUAGCCGACCUGAGAGGGUGAUCGGCCACACUGGAACUGAGACACGGUCCAGACUCCUACGGGAGGCAGCAGUAGGGAAUCUUCCGCAAUGGGCGAAAGCCUGACGGAGCAACGCCGCGUGAGUGAUGAAGGUCUUCGGAUCGUAAAACGCUGUUAUUAGGGAAGAACAAAUGUGUAAGUAACGAUGCACGUCUGGACGGUACCUAAUCAGAAAGCCACGGCUAACUACGU
rnacentral:rRNA from 1 species